UGCUUGAUGAAUUUGGUCUGAUGGUGACAUGACAACUAAGUGAGCUGAAUAUAUUUCUUUGUUUGCCACUGAUCUUAUAACAACUAAGUGAGCUGAACAUAUAAUUGAUCUUCUAAUCUUGACAAACUGAAUAUAACAACUGAAUUUCUUUCUUUGUCAGUGUAUCGUUUCUGUUUAAAAGGCUUUGGUUAUUUGACAAACUUAACUGCACGCCCCUACUGUUUUAUUAAAUGUCAUCUAUGAUCUUCCGGAGAGGCGAGGCGACUCAUUUCAUCGGAGGUCUAAGCAGCUACGUAGUCAGGCCCCUGGCAUACAACAAUACCCUGUUCUGAUCCUUUCAUCAGAGACGGUGAUCCAGGAAUUAUUAUACCUUGUUUUGCUAUGUCUACGGUUGAGUAUGGUGGCCUCAUCCUUGUCAUAUGUCCAGCUUAAGCCCUGUAUUCAUCCUUGCUUGUUCUUGCAGUAGAUGAAAUUGGCUCUCAUAGCAUUAAUUACAUGCCAUUUCUGUGCUUAGGGAACUGCUGGUGAAUCUUUUGCUACCUAUAAUCAUAUUUCAUUUAUCACCUCUUUUGUCUUCAGGUUGAGACUGUUCCCUGUAACUUCAAGUCUUUUUUCCAAGCUUGAGCCUUCUCAUUUUCGAAUCUGUGCAUACAUAUAUAUGGACCCUGGACUGGCGAAGCGUAUGCAUUCCUGAUUCCAUUGUUGGCAGAAAAGUUAUAUCUGACAUCUAGUCUAUAUGGCUCUAGUUUAGUUGGUUCUAGUUUAAUUUAUGGGAACAUUGGUUCUCAUUUAUGGCAACAUUGGUUCUCUACUCUCUGAUUAUAUGUGUCGUCUAGUCUAGUCUGCUAGUACUAUCUUCCAUGCUCAGAUUAUAUAAUACAAUAUGAAAAUUUGUUAAACAUCUAAGCAAUGAAAUUCUGUUUGUAGUUUCUCAUUAUUUAAGCAAGGAAAUUAUGGAGCUAGCUUUCUUAUGUAUCCAUCUGUUCAUUGUUUUUCCGCAUCUAACCCUUGGACCAAUUCAUCUGUUUAUUAUAGGGACCUAAUCUCGCGGAAGACGGGCGACCAUGCUUUGCUGCCACAAGUCUCCUCCACUUUGUGCAGCCCGCAAACAUGUCUUGGAGCAUUCGCCGAUCAAACGUGUGUUUAUGUUGUGAUGAGCCGUUAACUUUUGUUGACCGAAUAUCUUGUAUUUUUCAUUUGGACCGUGGUAUGUGGCAUGUGUAUGUUUUUCAUUUGGACCGUGGAAUGUAUGCAUGUACCAUUUUCAUUAGAACCAUUGAUAAUAGUACUUGUAAGUUGUAACAGAGCAUGUUUGUUGUUUUGUGUAAUCUAGGUGCACUUUUCCUCCGUGAGCUUUUGAAGUUGUAAAAAUUGCAUUUUUAAUUAUAAUAUAGUGGUUUUGCAAACCUUGUGUAUCAA
rnacentral:lncRNA from 1 species